AUUGAACGCUGGCGGAAUGCUUUACACAUGCAAGUCGAACGGCAGCACGGACUUCGGUCUGGUGGCGAGUGGCGAACUGGUGAGUAAUGUACCGGAACGGGCCCGGCCGGGGGGGAUAACGUGGUGAAAAUGAGGCUAAUCCCCCAUACGAUCAAGGGAGGAAAGCGGGGGACCGCAAGCCCUGCGCCGAUGGGAGCGGCGGAUAUCAGAUUAGGUAGUGGGUGGGGUAAAGGCCCACCAAGCCAACGAUCUGUAGCUGGUCUGAGAGGACGACCAGCCACACUGGAACUGAGACACGGUCCAGACUCCUACGGGAGGCAGCAGUGGGGAAUUUUGGACAAUGGGCGAAAGCCUGAUCCAGCCAUUCCGCGUGCAGGAUGAAGGCCCUCGGGUUGUAAACUGCUUUUGUACAGAACGAAAAGGUUUCUACUAAUACUAGGAGCUCAUGACGGUACUGUAAGAAUAAGCACCGGCUAACUACGUGCCAGCCGCCGCGGUAA
rnacentral:rRNA from 1 species